CUCUUUCUAUAUGUAUGUGUGCAUGUACGUGUGUUUGUAUGUAUACACACAUACACACACGGUGGAAGCAUAGGUAAGGUUUUCUAGCAGAAAAAUAU
rnacentral:miRNA from 11 species